rnacentral:rRNA from 1 species
AAUGAACGUUGGCGGCGUGGAUUAGGCAUGCAAGUCGAGCGAGAAACUUUAGCUUGCUAGAGUGGACAGCGGCGAAAGGGAGAGUAAUGCGUAGAAAUCUACCUUGGGGUCUGGGAUAGCGUUGGGAAACUGGCGGUAAUACCGGAUGACGUCUUCGGACCAAAGAAUUUCGCCCUGAGAUGAGUCUACGUCCUAUUAGCUAGUUGGUGGGGUAAUGGCCCACCAAGGCGACGAUGGGUAGCGGGUGUGAGAGCAUGAUCCGCCUCACUGGGACUGAGACACUGCCCAGACAUCUACGGAUGGCUGCAGUCGAGAAUCUUUGUCAAUGGACGAAAGUCUGAACAAGCGACGCCGCGUGCGGGAUGAAGGCCUUCGGGUUGUAAACCGCUGUCAGAGGGAAGGAAAUUUUGACUGAACCUCAGAGGAAGGACGGGCUAAGUUCG